rnacentral:rRNA from 1 species
GGGCCCGCACAAGCGGUGGAUUAUGUGGAUUAAUUCGAUGCAAACGCGAAAAACCUUACCUGGCCUUGAUAUGUACCGAAUUUAGCAGAGAUGCUUUAGUGCUCGUAAGAGAACGGUAACACAGGUGCUGCAUGGCUGUCGUCAGCUCGUGUCGUGAGAUGUUGGUUAAGUCCCGCAACGAGCGCAACCCUUGCCAUUAAUUGCCAUCAUUUAGUUGGGCACUUUAAUGGGACUGCCGGUGACAAACCGGAGGAAGGUGGGGAUGACGUCAAGUCCUCAUGGCCCUUAUGGCCAGGGCUUCACACGUAAUACAAUGGCUAGGACAGACGGCCGCAAACCCGCGAGGGGGAG